rnacentral:rRNA from 1 species
UACAGAGGUCUCAAGCGUUGUUCGGAUUCAUUGGGCGUAAAGGGUGCGUAGGCGGCGCGGUAAGUCGGGUGUGAAAUCUCGGAGCUUAACUCCGAAACUGCAUUCGAUACUGCCGUGCUUGAGGACUGGAGAGGAGACUGGAAUUUACGGUGUAGCGGUGAAAUGCGUAGAUAUCGUAAGGAAGACCAGUGGCGAAGGCGGGUCUCUGGACAGUUCCUGACGCUGAGGCACGAAGGUCAGGGGAGCAAACAGG